rnacentral:misc_RNA from 1 species
GAGGCAGGGCAGUAAAAGAACAAGGUACUGAAUAUAACUAAACUAUGAAUUUUAUGUUCAAUCACUAUAGCAUUGCAAUAAUUCACAACAUUCUAUUGUCAUAUAAUCUUGAAAUAGACACUAUUGUUGCUCGCCUAAAAUUAUAUGUCAAGAUAUGCAUACUUUUUCUUGUGAUGAAGAAUCAGGGUAUUGGCAAACUGGAAGUACAGCCACAAAACCAAUUGUAGCUUUGUUAAAAUGGAAGCCUUUCUAUACUUUAUUUUGCACUGCCUGAUCACAAUGAUGACCAUUUCAGCUGAAUCAGUCAUCAGGUGAAUAUCAGAUCAUUGCCAGUAAUAGACUUUGCUUUAGAACUUCUAAAAAAAAUAUGACAGAAUUUUCAUAGAUUGAGCAAAUAUCCAAGGAAGAUCCUCAAAACCAUUUAUGUUUUGAGAAUUUGCACAUUCUAGCCAUUUUGAAGUUGCAAAAUGGUACUUGUAUUGAAGUAUUAAGAAAUUAAAGUGGGCAUAUCCAAAUGCAAAAUUCUAUCCUUUUUGUUUGCUCUUCUGUUUCACAUGAUAUUAUUUUCAGGAAGAGAUCUGGUAAGAAAUUAGUAGAGAAUCUUGCAGUAAGUCGAAUGUUUUUGUAACUAUUAAAAACUUACCAAGUUCUAAAGCAGAUUUUCCUCUCUUUCUUUCCUUCCAUUUCUUUAAUUCUUAAAGAAACUACUGUUCAAAUUCUUAGCCUUGUUUUUUGUACAGAACUUUUAGGUUUAGAUCUGCA